rnacentral:sRNA from 1 species
AGCAGCCGCGGUAAUUCCAGCUCCAAUAGCGUAUAUUAAAGUUGUUGCAGUUAAAAAGCUCGUAGUUGAAUUUCGGGAUUAAUUUACUGGUCGUGCUAUUGUACGUACUGGUUUUAUUGAUUCCUCCCUUCUGACGAACUAUGAUGUCAUUAAUUUGGUGUCAUAGGAAAUCAGGACUGUUACUUUGAAAAAAUUAGAGUGUUUAAAGCAGGCUCACGCUUGAAUACAUUAGCAUGGAAUAACGGAAUAGGACGUUUGAUUCUAUUUUGUUGGUUUCUAGGAUCGACGUAAUGAUUAAUAGGGAUAGUUGGGGGCAUUAGUAUUCAAUUGUCAGAGGUGAAAUUCUUGGAUUUAUUGAAGACUAACUACUGCGAAAGCAUUUGCCAAGGAUGUUUUCAUUAAUCAAGAACGAAAGUUAGGGGAUCGAAGACGAUCAGAUACCGUCGUAGUCUUAACCAUAAACUAUGCCGACUAGGGAUCGGAUGAUGUUAAUUUUUUAAUGUACUCAUUCGGCGCCUUA